rnacentral:rRNA from 1 species
GACGAACGCUGGCGGCGUGCUUAACACAUGCAAGUCGAGGGCGGUAGCAAUACCGACCGGCGAACGGGUGCGUAACACGUGAGCGACCUACCGAGGUGUGGGGGAUAGUCGGCCUAACGGCCGGGUAAUACCGCAUACGUUCUCUAACCGGCAUCGAUUGGAGAGGAAACCUUUCGGGCACUUCGAGGGGCUCGCGGCCUAUCAGCUAGUUGGCGAGGUAAUGGCUCACCAAGGCGACGACGGGUAGCUGGUCUGAGAGGAUGGCCAGCCACAUUGGGACUGAGAAACGGCCCAGACUCCUACGGGAGGCAGCAGUGGGGAAUCUUGCGCAAUGGCCGAAAGGCUGACGCAGCGACGCCGCGUGUGGGAUGAAGCCCUUCGGGGUGUAAACCACUGUUGCCCGGGACGAAUAGCGGAUUUUGAUCCGCCUGACGGUACCGGGUGAGGAAGCACCGGCUAACUCCGUGCCAGCAGCCGCAGUAACAC